CAGCCGCCGCGGGAAUACGUAGGUGGCAAGCGUUGUCCGGAAUUAUUGGGCGUAAAGGGCUCGCAGGCGGUUUCUUAAGUCUGAUGUGAAUGCCCCCGGCUCAACCGGGGAGGGUCAUUGGAAACUGGGAAACUUGAGUGCAGAAGAGGAGAGUGGAAUUCCACGUGUAGCGGUGAAAUGCGUAGAGAUGUGGAGGAACACCAGUGGCGAAGGCGACUCUCUGGUCUGUAACUGACGCUGAGGAGCGAAAGCGUGGGGAGCGAACAGGAUUAGAGACCCCUGUAGUCCCUGUCUCUUAUAC
rnacentral:rRNA from 1 species